AUUUACAUGUCUUGGGCCUGUACUUGUCUUUCUGUCAAGCCCGACAACUUAAGGUCCAUGUGGUUUUGGAAAUUAUCCUUUUGAUCCUGAACAUUUUGAAAAUGUCAAAAUUUGCCCCGAAUCAUUCGAGCCUUUAUUUUUUUCUACCCUUUUACGUCCGAGGCGCCGUUUGGCUUGAGCUGCCACAAACGGUGACGGAGACGGACCAGAACAGGCGAUCUCUCUCCUCUCUUCCCUCUGGUAAUGGACCUCCUCUGCAGCGCUUACUCGAACUCCGACGUCGACGGAGACGAACGGGAACCCAAGAAGCUCAGACCCGAGAACCCGAUCCCAGUGACCAGCCACCACCCGAAACCUCGACCAUGGAACGUGAUCGGUCGUCAGGGAGAAGCCCCAGUUCAGGGCAACACGAACCGGACACUGGAACCCUCCGGCUCUACGUUUGGUACUUGCUUCCCAACGUUGACAUAUUUGAUUUUCGUGCAAAUGUGGUGAUGUUGGAGCUCAGUUGUCUGAAAGUUCAGUUCUUUUUUCUUUCCUAUAUCUGUUGGGCAAGAGUUCAUUUGUUGAUGUUAAUGAAGUUUGAUGCUAUUCCUGGGGAAAGUUUAGUGCUUUUCUUAUAUGUUUGAAUCUGAUUGAGUCAAAUAUGUCUCUGUUUUCGGAAUUUAGACUGUAAUUGUUUUGCAACAUAGGAGUGUAAUUUAGUUAGGAGCAAAAUGUUAGUACGAUGUCUUGGUAAUUCUUUUGGCCAAUUCCAUUAGAUUCCUGGACUGUUACUCUGAUCUCAACAAUAGUCACCAAUGGCAUUAGUGUUCGGCAUUGGGUGGAUGCGAUUUAUUAGAUGUGCACCAUCAGCGGAUUGAUAUAUAACGGAAUUGUACAGAAUACUCGUAAAACUUGGAUAGGACCUGUCUGUUUCAUGGCUGAAAAAAAGUUGAAUAGACACAAUAUCUUAGCAAAAUAUGUCAGAUUGUCAUAAGUGCUAGGUGGAUUGAAGAAAUUGUUUUAUUACCAGUUCGUGUGAAACAAACGAGCCCUUCAUUUAGUUUUUGUUUAAGAUGUAAGUUCCCACUUCCAUUAAUGAGGUUGUUUUAAUCCUUAAACAUGCAAAUUAGUUUGGAUGAUGUUUGGCGUUUGUCCAAUGUUUCAGUAUGGGUAUCAGCAAGGUCGUAAUGUGUCAAUUACAGGAAGCUAACAGAACUGCCCUAAAAAAAAAAAUAUAUAUAUAUAUAUAUAUAUUUCUUUUUGUUGCUGAGACAUAGAGGGAAAGGCCGUUUCUAACGAGGCUGAAUGCCAGAAAAGCUGUCUGUGUCUCUUAAUGGCCAUAAAAAGGUUAUUAAUGCUCUGGAUUGAUCAACAAGUCAAGCUCAUCUUCUCAUUUCUGCUGGGAUGGAUCACACUGUUCACAAAUGGAAUGUAUGGAGCAACAGCAAGAGAAAAGCAUGUGUCUGGAACUGUCACAACUCUGCAGUUAAAGACAUGAAGUGGACGAAGAUGGGUUGGUUCAUGCUUUCAUGUGGAUUCGAUCUUACAUCAAGAUUAGAAAGUUGAUGUUGAGAAGGGCUCAGAGAUUUGUGUCUUCAAGGAGGAUCAAGUUGUUAAUGUUGCGAAGUUUCAUCUAUAGAAUCCGAACCUCUUCCUUUCGAGUGGUGAAACUGAAAAGGUUCCCCCUCAGAUUAAGGCCGGGUCAAGUGGUACGAGUACAUUCAGCAACCCGGUCCAAUUCUCAACGUGGAUUUAUCUCAUGAUGGCAAAGAGUUUGUUUCUCGAGCAAUGUCCCCACAGCAACAUAAGUGAGAAUGCAUUGUAGUUUGGGAUCUAACACGCGAGUUUUCCCUUUCCAACCAGGUAUGUACCUCAUUCUUGGUGAAUGAUUUGACAAUUGUCAAUCAAGUAUGCAAUGCAAGGUUGUCUUUGAUUUUGUAGUGCUAGAAAGAAACUGGAAAAGUCUUCAUGAGCGAGAUCGCUCUCACCCAUAGUUGAAUGGCUUAAUAGUUCUUGUAACUUCUUAUACAUUUGCCUUCUGAGCUUGCAUUAAACCAAUUCUUGAGACGAUGUGUUAGUCGUUCUUAUGGGUUCAGGUCUAUGGGGAGGCUUACACCUGUCCCUGCAUAAGGCACCGCCCACUUGAGCCAUUUAUCGUGGCUCAAUGAAAUGUGAACUCUAUUGCAGUAUUUUCUUGGCUCCAUUCAGGCUCCAGAAAUAUAAAAGACGUGAGUGUCAUGGAGUCUCUGGGUUUCCCAUCAAGUGCAGCUUCAGCUCAGAUGGGGAUACUCUUGCAACAGGCUCUGCAGAAGGUUCCAUAUACUUGUACAAUUACAGAUCAAGCAGUCUUAUUAGGAAGACCAAAGCAUACUCUUCUCCAUGCAGAGGCAUCGGGUUCCAUUCACCAUCUCUAAUGUGGUUGCUUCCUGAAGUUGGAUUGGAGAUCUGUCGGUGCUUAUGAGUGAUUUCUUUUUGCUCGUUUGAUUUGCUAAAUCAUUCAGGUUUGAUUGUUGAGAAACUGAAGACUUGAUCAGGCAUUAGAUCUGAUCCCAGGCUCAAACCUCGGUUGGUGUAUAUAUGUAAAUGAAAUAUUGUGUUUUUGCUGGGUCA